UGAGGAUACAGGGGGGUGAGAAUAUAGGGGGAUGAGGAUACAGGGGGGGGGGGAUACAGGGGGGUGAGAAUACAGGGGCGUGAGGAUACAGGGGGAUGAGGAUACAGGGGGCUGAGGGUACAGGGGGGUGAGGAUACCGGGGCGUGAGGAUACAGGGGGGUGAGAAUACAGGGGGUGAGGAUACAGGGGCGUGAGGAUACAGGGGGGUGAGGAUACAGGGGUUUGAGGAUACUGGGGCGUGAGGAUACAGGGGGAUGAGGAUACAGGGGGAUGACUGCUACCACUACUGGAAAAGUGAAACCACAUGAGAGUGUGUCCUACUGAUGAAACAUUAAGAUUAUGCCUUUUUGUUUUUAGAAGUCCAAAGAGACUUUGCUACUGGUUGUGAGUUUUGCUUUUCCAGACCAAAACAACUCAUCUCACAAAUCAACUACCAUCAUACUUUGUAUUAACAAUUAAGUGUAAGAAAAAUUGAAACCAAAAUAGUUAUUAGAACAGAAGCAUUUAUUGGACACAGGUAUCUGCAAUCCCUCCCCUACCCUACCACCAGAAUGACAUUUCAACAGCCCCAAUCUCAUCCUGUUACUUCUCUUCUUAAAGUUCUUCAGGCCUGAAAGAGGAGGCACAGUCCAGUAAUUGGAGCUUGGGACCUGGAACCACACUGCUGAAGUUCAGGACCUGCCUCUGACUCUUGAGAGCUGAGUGACCUUGAGCAAGCUAGCGAACUUCAUCUGCAGAAUGAUGUGCUUCCCUGAUGGAAAGGAGGAAGACAUGACAUUGAAUGCCGUGUACCAGCAUUGCGGUGGGUUCUGGGGAUUCCUGGUGUGUAGGAUUCACUGCGAAGAUGGAGGCCAACGGAUAGGCAUGACGCAGUUGUCUCAAGUGGAAGUACAUGUUGCGAAAGGAGCUUGGAGAAAGAGGUGGUUAUGAGAAGCCUCUGUAAGAGUCGAUGCCGAGCCUUGAUGGGUGCGUAGGGGCCAAGCAAAGAACAGAGGGAAGCACCCUCCAGGCGGAGGACGCUGGAUGUCUGAAUGCUUGAAAGAGCAUAGUUUGCUGAGAGAAUGCAAAUAAUCUGUAUAAUAUGAGGCAGGGGCUACAGUAAGGACUAGGAGAAUAAGAGGAGAAAUGGCAAAGCUGACUAGGCCAAGAGGAGAUAGUGAAGUCUAUUUAGUAUUUUUAAGGUUUUAUUGUUUCUUCAAAAGUGAAAAUUUUAUUUUUGAAAAGGAUUUAAAUAGUGUAUGAUAAUAUAUAAAAGUAAAACAAACAAAAAUCACUUGAAAGUCUUCUCAACCUGAGGUUACAACUGUUGAUCCUUUACUGGGCAUCUUUCUAUACUCUUUCUCUCUCUAUAUGUAAUUUCAUGCAAGUAGAAAUAUACUAUGCACAUUGUUAUGCAACUUCCACCCAUUUUUUUGUCAAUGAUGAGAAUCUUGGACUUUAUUCUAAAGAGCAUUAGUGAUUUUCAAUGAGGAGAUAUCAUAAUAAUAUUUGUAAAUUAUGAAAAAACACACAACGGUAUUGUACAGGGUCAACUUGAGGCAGUGGUGGUGGGAACACCAAAGAGCCCAGGGAAGGAAUGAUGGUGAUAUGAGUCAGGCAAUGGUGAUGGGCUGGAAAAAGGGAGGCGUCCAGAUGGCACAGGAGUAAGCGUGGUGCGCUCUGCGAUUGUGGAGGUGGAGUUGUCAAAAGGAGGGAGGUGCUGAGGAAGAGAGACAGAGGAAGAGAAAUCGCCAGUGAUUCCCAGGUUGCUGGCUGGGAAUGUGUGGGUAUUAACCAGCAGUUUGGAAUGCCUGUGGGGUGUUCAGGUGAAGAGAGCAGGUAAGCAUUUAAAUAUACAGGACUGCAGCUCAAGGUAGAAUUCAAAACUGGAGAUAGAAUUCUGGGCAUAUCAUCAGUGGUUAAAGCUAAGAGAGCUGAGGACUGGUGACACAGGCCAAGCAGGAAACGUUGAGUGGGGACCUUGUUUUGUUCAGUGUUAUAUUCUCAGAACUGCCCCUAGCAUGUAGCAGGGGCUAAGUGUUUCUUGAAUGAGUAAUUAAAUAAUAAUAAACGUUUUUUCUAUUUCA
ensembl:lncRNA